AGCUUUGUGCAGUGGCAGUAUUGUAGCCAAUGAGGUUUAUCUGAGGUGUGAUUAUUGCUAAUUGAAAACUUUUCCUGAUACCCUGCCAUGAUGACUUGAAAUAUAGUUGGCAUUGGCAAUUUUUGACAGUCUUUACGGAGA
rnacentral:snRNA from 1 species